rnacentral:rRNA from 1 species
UACGAAGGGGCUAGCGUUGUUCGGAUUUACUGGGCGUAAAGCGCACGUAGGCGGAUCUUUAAGUCAGAGGUGAAAUCCCAAGGCUCAACCUUGGAACUGCCUUUGAUACUGGGGAUCUUGAGUCCGGGAGAGGUGAGUGGAACUGCGAGUGUAGAGGUGAAAUUCGUAGAUAUUCGCAAGAACACCAGUGGCGAAGGCGGCUCACUGGCCCGGUACUGACGCUGAGGUGCGAAAGCGUGGGAGCAAACAGG